AUGGAGAGGAGCCUGGGAGCUGUGCUGGGGCUGCUGUGGGUGCAGGUUUGCUGGGUCAGAGGGAUGCAGGUGGAACAGAAUCCUCCAGCCCUGACUCUCCAGGAGGGAGCCGGCUCUGCUCUGAGAUGCAAUUUUUCUACCACCAUGAGAAGUGUGCAGUGGUUCCGACAGAAUCCCAGGGGCAGCCUCGUCAAUCUUUUUUCCCUGACUCCAGGAACAAAGGAGAAUGGGAGGUUAAAGUCAACAUUCAACUCCAAGGAGCGCUACAGCACCCUGCACAUCAGGGAUGCCCAGCUGGAGGACUCAGGAACCUACCUCUGUGCUGCUGAGGCACAGUGCUCCCAGCAAGCCUGCAGCCUGGCCCCAAACUGCAGCUGUGUGUGCAGCAACAGCCCUGCCCCAGGGAGACUCUGCAGGAGGAUUUGCACAGCUGUGGGGUUUCCAAUUUAUGCUGCAUCUCUGUCCUCUCCACUAACACAGACAGUUCAGGAUUGCUGUUUCCCGUCAGUGCACCCUUUCCUCACAGAUUCCCGUUUUCAGGAAGAAGUUCUCAUGAAGAAUACUGGGAUAACUGACAAAGAUGAUAAGGUUCACAGUGCUGUCAGGUAGACCCACUGCACAGUUUUCACUGCUCUUCAAUUAUUGUUCUACAAAGGCAUCACACAGACGUGCUCUUCAGGGAACAGAAAAGAAAUGGCCCAGUGUUUCAGUCAAUUGCAGAUCUUUCAAUUAUCCAGAAGAAUGGGACUUUUAUUAGUUUUUUUUUUUUUGAGAAUUUCAUACAAUGCACUUUGAUCAUAUUCAGUUCUCCACCAGUUCCUACCAGUCCCACCCCUCGUCCUUAC